GGACCCUAAAAUAAAACCAAUCGAGUGGUGCAAGGGAAUGAUAAAUUUCAUUUUUAAAUGGCAGUUUUCUUAAAGUGGGUAAAUUUUGAGAGAUUUGAUAGUUUGAUUUUUCCUGGUUAAAAUAGUGUUACAACUUCAUUCAUUUUAUGAAUUAUACAGCCUUUUCGUAUAGUGAAUAUACAGGAAAGAAAAUCAUAUCUAGUCCAGAAAAUCCUCGUACCUGUUCUUAGAGUAAGGAUGUCUCUGUAGUUGAUAACAAGCCCUAUUAUAAAAGACAAUAAAUCCCAACGAAGUGAUCUGCCUCAUAUUCCUUUGAAAUGCAUUUGGAACUCUGGAGCUUGUUUUCAGUCCUAGAGGCUUGGCAGCUGAUCUCUAUUGAGUACUCCCGACUCUCCCAGAAUAGUUUUGUAGGCGAUUGCUUGGUUUAGAAUGAGGAAGGAAGUUCUGCAGAGCUGCUAGAAUGAGAAUGACUGGAAUAGCUGAUAAAAGGCUGAGCUUUCUAUGGCCAGUACAUCCGGAGUUAUAGAGAAGCCGCAUGCUAGUCUCCUGUGGCAGAACCAGGUCUCCUGGGGGAGAAUGAAGCUGGUUUCAACUAUCAAAUGGGUUAUCUAAAAACAAGGCCAUCUUCUCCAUUAGUGCCCAGGGCCCACAGUACUUUUAGGGGCCCAUGAAAAUGUUUUAAUGUCUUUUAAAAUUAAGAGAAGAUGAACAAAAUAUUUUAACAAAUGACAUUAGCUUUUUUUUUUUUUUUUUUUUUUUUUUUUUUUUUUUGGAGGACGGUCUACAAAGACUGUGUGUCUGGGGCCUAUAAAAGUCAUAAUGCAGACCUACCUGAGGCCUGAGAUCUACCCAUUCUCUCAAGGUUGGUGCUAGACUAUGAAAGAAUGGCAAGUUUAGGCAGAUGUCUGAUAUUCUAAUUCAGUUCAUCUCCCUCUCUGCAUCUUAGUGUCUUCAUCUGUCUAAUGAGGAAUAUGGACCAAGCAACCUGUGAAGGCCCUUGCAGGUCAAACUUUCUUCAAUGAAAUCCUGUGUCAGAAGCUCUGGAAUAGUUGCAGGCCAAAGCAGGUUAUCUAACAUGAUCUUAUUGUAAAAUCUCGGGUCCUGUGAGAACCUGUAGGGACACAGAACAGGCCUAGUAACCAUCCUAUAUUUUUUGAGUCCAGUUAGAAGUACAAUUUCAGAAAUGAUAAGAGAAUGAAGUGUGUGGUAUUAGAAUGCAGUUGGUAAAAGAUUAGAACUAGUAAGUGCCUUGCAUGUUGUAAGUACUCUUUAAAAAUAAAUGGAUAAAAUAAUGAUGGGUAUAAAAUAUUUGCUUAUUUUCUUAAGAGAAAUCUGUAUU
rnacentral:lncRNA from 1 species